GUGGGAUUAGCUAGUUGGUGAGGUAAGGGCUCACCAAGGCGACGAUCCCUAGCUGGUCUGAGAGGAUGAUCAGCCACACUGGAACUGAGACACGGUCCAGACUCCUACGGGAGGCAGCAGUGGGGAAUAUUGCACAAUGGGCGCAAGCCUGAUGCAGCCAUGCCGCGUGUGUGAAGAAGGCCUUCGGGUUGUAAAGCACUUUCAGUCGUGAGGAAGGUGGUGUAGUUAAUAGCUGCAUUAUUUGACGUUAGCGACAGAAGAAGCACCGGCUAACUCCGUGCCAGCAGCCGCGGUAAUACGGAGGGUGCGAGCGUUAAUCGGAAUUACUGGGCGUAAAGCGCAUGCAGGUGGUUUGUUAAGUCAGAUGUGAAAGCCCGGGGCUCAACCUCGGAAUAGCAUUUGAAACUGGCAGACUAGAGUACUGUAGAGGGGGGUAGAAUUUCAGGUGUAGCGGUGAAAUGCGUAGAGAUCUGAAGGAAUACCGGUGGCGAAGGCGGCCCCCUGGACAGAUACUGACACUCAGAUGCGAAAGCGUGGGGAGCAAACAGGAUUAGAUACCCUGGUAGUCCACGCCGUAAACGAUGUCUACUUGGAGGUUGUGGCCUUGAGCCGUGGCUUUCGGAGCUAACGCGUUAAGUAGACCGCCUGGGGAGUACGGUCGCAAGAUUAAAACUCAAAUGAAUUGACGGGGGCCCGCACAAGCGGUGGAGCAUGUGGUUUAAUUCGAUGCAACGCGAAGAACCUUACCUACUCUUGACAUCCAGAGAACUUUCCAGAGAUGGAUUGGUGCCUUCGGGAACUCUGAGACAGGUGCUGCAUGGCUGUCGUCAGCUCGUGUUGUGAAAUGUUGGGUUAAGUCCCGCAACGAGCGCAACCCUUAUCCUUGUUUGCCAGCGAGUAAUGUCGGGAACUCCAGGGAGACUGCCGGUGAUAAACCGGAGGAAGGUGGGGACGACGUCAAGUCAUCAUGGCCCUUACGAGUAGGGCUACACACGUGCUACAAUGGCGCAUACAGAGGGCGGCCAACUUGCGAAAGUGAGCGAAUCCCAAAAAGUGCGUCGUAGUCCGGAUUGGAGUCUGCAACUCGACUCCAUGAAGUCGGAAUCGCUAGUAAUCGUGGAUCAGAAUGCCACGGUGAAUACGUUCCCGGGCCUUGUACACACCGCCCGUCACACCAUGGGAGUGGGCUGCAAAAGAAGUAGGUAGUUUAACCUUCGGGGGGAC
rnacentral:rRNA from 1 species